GUGAUCAUGGUGUAACGGAAGCACGCCGGGUUGUGGCCCCGGAAGAGGCGGGUUCGAAUCCCCCUGUUCACCC
rnacentral:tRNA from 1 species